GUUAAUGUAGCUUAAACUUAAAGCAAGGCACUGAAAAUGCCUAGAUGAGUGUUCUAGCUCCAUAAACA
rnacentral:tRNA from 1 species